rnacentral:rRNA from 1 species
CGAACGGGUGAGUUAACACGUGGGUUAACCUCCCCAUAAGACUCGCGUAACUCCCGGAAACCGUGCUAUAGCAGGAUAACAUUUUUGAACUGCAUCGGGUCGGAGAAUGACAGGGGCCUUCGGCUGUCACUUAUUGAUGGAACCGCGUCGCAUAGCUAGUUUGGUGAGGUAACAGCUCUCCCACAACAACGAUGCGUAGCCGAUCGUGAGAGAGUGAUCGUCCACCACUGGGGCUGAGACACGGCCCAGAGUCUCACGGGAGGCAGCAGUAGGGAGUAUUCUGCACUAGGCGAGAGUCUGACGGAGCAACGCCGCGUGAGUGAUGAAGACGUUCUGGUCGUAAAACUCUGUUGUUAGGGGAGAACAAGUGCUAGUUGAAUUAGCUGGCACUUUGACGGUACCUAACCAGAAAGGCACGGCUAAACUACGUGCCAGCAGGCGCGGUAAUACGUAGGUGGCCAGCGUUAUCCGGAAAUAUUGGGCGUAAAAGCGCGCGCAGGUGGUUUCUUAAGUCUGAUGUGAAAGCCCACGGCUCAACCGUGGAGGGUCAUUGGAAACUGGGAGACUUGAGUGCAGAAGAGGAAAGUGGAAUUCCAUGUGUAGCGGUGAAAUGCGUAGAGAUAUGGAGGAACACCAGUGGCGAAGGCGACUUUCUGGUCUGUAACUGACACUGAGGCGCGAAAGCGUGGGGAGCAAACAGGAUUAGAUACCCUGGUAGUCCACGCCGUAAACGAUGAGUGCUAAGUGUUAGAGGGUCUCCGCCCUUUAGUGCUGAAGUUAACGCAU